rnacentral:rRNA from 1 species
AGCGAACGCUGGCGGCAGGCUUAACACAUGCAAGUCGAGCGGGCCCUUCGGGGUCAGCGGCGGACGGGUGAGUAACGCGUGGGAACGUGCCUUCUGGUCUGGAAUAACCCUGGGAAACUAGGGCUAAUACCGGAUACGCCCUUUUGGGGAAAGGUUUACUGCCGGAAGAUCGGCCCGCGUCUGAUUAGCUAGUUGGUGGGGUAACGGCCUACCAAGGCGACGAUCAGUAGCUGGUCUGAGAGGAUGAUCAGCCACACUGGGACUGAGACGCGGCCCAGACUCCUACGGGAGGCAGCAGUGGGGAAUAUUGGACAAUGGGCGCAAGCCUGAUCCAGCCAUGCCGCGUGAGUGAUGAAGGCCUUAGGGUUGUAAAGCUCUUUUAUCCGGGACGAUAAUGACGGUACCGGAGGAAUAAGCCCCGGCUAACUUCGUG